rnacentral:rRNA from 1 species
ACGCUCGACACCUACGGGAGGCCGCAGUGGGGAAUAUUGCACAAUGGGGGAAACCCUGAUGCAGCGACGCCGCGUGGAGGAAGAAGGUCUUCGGAUUGUAAACUCCUGUUGUUGGGGAAAAAGAGGAUGGUACCCAACAAGGAAGUGACGGCUAACUACGUGUCAGCAGCCGCGGUAAUCUGAGCGGGCUGGCAAGGC